CCUUUUUAUAAGGUUUUGAAUUUGACAAUUUAACAAUAAUACAUGGCUUAACUUGUGAUGCAUUUAGUAAGUUGAAAAAGUAUAGUUGGGCAAGCAAAAUGUUCAUUCGAGCUGUUUGGAUAGAAAAUACAGAGAAAUAAAGUGAGAAAAAUCGAUCGAUAAUUUUUAUGUGCUGGCUAUCAUCAUUAAAUGUAAUAAAUUGUUUCAAUGAAAUGCAUAAACCGCAUCUAACUAAUACAGAUUUACGCUGCUCAAAAUUAAAUGUCAUGGAGAUAAUGAGCCACUACCAUGCUUAUGCAAGAGAAAACAUAAUAACCAACAGAAUAGUAAGCAAGUACCUACUCCUGUAACGCAAAAAAAGAAACAGAAAACAAUUUUUAUGCAUACUCCACAUGCUGUAGCUCAAGGUAUUAAUUGUCUGUCUGUAAGUUGAUUUAGAAAGAAAAGAUUCUGUACAUUUUUUUCUAUGCUUCUGUGAUUUACACAUUUUAUUGGUUUCUAAAUUAAUACAUUUUA